rnacentral:rRNA from 1 species
UUAGUUUGGUUUAGGGCGCACGGUGGAUGCCUUGACACUAGGAGUCGAUGAAGGACGGGACUAACGCCGAUAUGCUUCGGGGAGCUGUAAGUAAGCUUUGAUCCGAAGAUUUCCGAAUGGGGAAACCCACCAUACGUAAUGGUAUGGUAUCCUUAUCUGAAUACAUAGGGUAAGGAAGACAGACCCAGGGAACUGAAACAUCUAAGUACCUGGAGGAAGAGAAAGCAAAUGCGAUUUCCUGAGUAGCGGCGAGCGAAACGGAACAUAGUCAAACCAAGAGGCUUGCCUCUUGGGGUUGUAGGACAUUCUAUACGGAGUUACAAAGGAACGAGGUAGACGAAGCGACCUGGAAAGGUCCGUCGUAGAGGGUAACAACCCCGUAGUCGAAACUUGUUCUCUUGAAUGUAUCCUGAGUACGGCGGAACACGUGAAAUUCCGUCGGAAUCUGGGAGGACCAUCUCCCAAGGCUAAAUACUCCUAGUGAUCGAUAGUGAACCAGUACCGUGAGGAAAGGUGAAAAGCACCCGAAGAGGAAGAGAUCCUGAAACCGUGUGCCUACAAAUAGUCAGAGCCCGUUAACGGGUGAUGGCGUGCCUUUGUAGAAUGAACCGGCGAGUUACGAUCCCGUGCGAGGUUGCUGAAGAGGCGGAGCCGCAGCGAAAGCGAGUCUGAAUAGGGCGUUUAGUACGUGGUCGUAGACCCGAAACCAGGUGAUCUACCCAUGUCCAGGGUGAAGUUCAGGUAACACUGAAUGGAGGCUCGAACCCACGCACGUUGAAAAGUGCGGGAUGAGGUGGGUAGCGGAGAAAUUCCAAUCGAACCUGGAGAUAGCUGGUUCUCCCGAAAUAGCUUUAGGCUAGCCUUAAGUGUAAGAGUCUUGGAGGUAGAGCACUGAUUGACUAGGGUCCUCAUCGGAUUACGAAUUCAGUCAAACCUGAAUGCCAAUGACUUAUCCUUAGGAGUCAGACUGCGAGGAUAAGAUCCGUAGUCAAAGGAAACAGCCCAGACCGCCAGCUAAGGUCCCAAAGUGUGUAUUAUGGAAAAGGAUGGAGUUGCUUAGACAACUAGGAUGUUGGCUUAGAAGCAGCCACCAUUUAAAGAGUGCGUAAUAGCUCACUAGUCGAGUGACUCUGCGCCGAAAAUGUACGGGCUAAAUACACCACCGAAGCUGCGGAUUGAUACCAAUGGUAUCAGUGGUAGGAGCGUUCUAAGGACAGUGAAGUCAGACCGGAAGGACUGGUGGAGUGCAGUGAGAAUGCCGGUAUGAGUAGCGAAAGACGGUGAGAAUCCGUCCACCGAAUGCCUAAGGUUUCUGAGGAAGGCUCGUCCGCUCAGGGUUGUCAGACCUGCCGAGGCCGACAGGCGUAGGCGAUGGACAACAGGUUGAUAUUCCUGUACCACCUCUUUAUCGUUUGAGCAAUGGAGGACGCAGAAGGAUAGAAGAAGCGUGCGAUUGGUUGUGCACGUCCAAGCAGUUAGGCUGAUAAGUAGGCAAAUCCGCUUAUCGUGAAGGCUGAGCUGUGAUGGGAAGCUUAUGGAGCGAAGUCUUGAUUCCCGCUGCCAAGAAAAGCUUAGCGAGAUAAAGGUGCCUGUACCGCAAACCGACACAGGUAGGCGAGGAGAGAAUUAAGGUGUGCGAGAGAACUCUGGUUAAGGAACUCGGCAAAUGACCCCGUAACUUCGGGAGAAGGGUGCUUAACGGAAAGCCGCAGUGAAUAGGCCCAAGCGACUGUUUAGCAAAACACAGCUCUGCGAAGCCGUAAGGCGAAGUAUAGGUGACACCUGCCCGGUGCUGGAAGGUUAAGGAGGGUUAGCGUAAGCGAAGCUCUGAACUGAAGCCCCAGUAAACGGCGGCCGUAACUAUAACGGUCCUAAGGUAGCGAAAUUCCUUGUCGGGUAAGUUCCGACCCGCACGAAAGGUGUAACGAUUUGGGCACUGUCUCAACCAGAGACUCGGUGAAAUUAUAGUACCUGUGAAGAUGCAGGUUACCCGCGACAGGACGGAAAGACCCCGUGGAGCUUUACUGUAGCCUGAUAUUGAAUUUUGGUACAGUUUGUACAGGAUAGGCGGGAGCCAUUGAAACCGGAGCGCUAGCUUCGGUGGAGGCGCUGGGAUACCGCCCUGACUGUAUUGAAAUUUAACCUACGGGUCUUAUCGACCCGGGAGACAGUGUCAGGUGGGCAGUUUGAUGGGGCGGUCGCCUCCUAAAGUGUAACGGAGGCGCCCAAAGGUUCCCUCAGAAUGGUUGGAAAUCAUUCGUAGAGUGCAAAGGCAUAAGGGAGCUUGACUGCGAGACCUACAAGUCGAGCAGGGACGAAAGUCGGGCUUAGUGAUCCGGUGGUUCCGCAUGGAAGGGCCAUCGCUCAACGGAUAAAAGCUACCCCGGGGAUAACAGGCUUAUCUCCCCCAAGAGUCCACAUCGACGGGGAGGUUUGGCACCUCGAUGUCGGCUCAUCGCAUCCUGGGGCUGUAGUCGGUCCCAAGGGUUGGGCUGUUCGCCCAUUAAAGCGGUACGCGAGCUGGGUUCAGAACGUCGAGACAGUUCGGUCCCUAUCCGUCGUGGGCGUAGGAAAUUUGAGAGGAGCUGUCCUUAGUACGAGAGGACCGGGAUGGACGCACCGCUGGUGUACCAGUUGUUCUGCCAAGGGCAUAGCUGGGUAGCUAUGUGCGGAAGGGAUAAGUGCUGAAAGCAUCUAAGCAUGAAGCCCCCCUCAAGAUGAGAUUUCCCAUAGCGUAAGCUAGUAAGAUCCCUGAAAGAUGAUCAGGUUGAUAGGUUCGAGGUGGAAGCAUGGUGACAUGUGGAGCUGACGAAUACUAAUAGAUCGAGGACUUAACCAU